CGCUGGGGUCCCGGAGGGCGGGGGUGGCGGCGCCGGAGGUCGCCAUGGCUACCGAGCCCGAAGCCGCGGAGCCGGUGGUGCCUUCGCUCGUGGAUCGAUACUUCACUCGCUGGUACAAACCGGAUGUCAAAGGAAAAUUUUGUGAGGACCACUGUAUACUACAGCACUCUAACCGGUAAGCAAAUUGGGAAUUUUAAAUUAUCAAAAAAAUUUUUUUCCUGGUAUUGUAGCCUUGUGGUCUUGGAUUGAACAAAUGUUCACUAAACAAACAUGCAUUAAUUAUCUUCUACUGUGUUGAAAUGGUAUUAUUAUAGGAGUUUGUUUGGCAAGAAUGAGUAUUCCAGUGCCUGGCCACUCUGAACAUAUAAAUUUGAUCACUCAAACAUCCAAAUGGAGGACCACAUCAUCAGCUGCUAUCUGAAGUGGCCAGUCUGUGCCCAACUACUGAACUGUUCAGAGCCCACAGAAAGGGCUACGGUAGAGACAUAUAUGGUAUCUCGUAUACACAGGCAUGCCUUAUUUCUUUGUCUUCUACCCCAGUGCUACCUACC
rnacentral:sRNA from 1 species